GAUGGGCUUUGAAUUAAAAAGGAAUGGGUCAGGAUGGGUUUUCAAAACUUAUCCAUUGGCGUAUUGUUUCCGUCUGUCUUUCUACCCAGGGUUUCAAUCCCCUUCAAAACGUUCAAGAAUGAAGACGACUCCAGUUCUCCUUACGUCGCCAAUCUCACCAUAUUCAAUCAAUAAAGGCUCUAUGUUCUUCGGCUUCUAGACUCAAACUUGAGUUCAUAUUCAAUCUGACUUGAUUUCAAUUCGUGUUUUGAAAAUGAGAUUGAGCAGAGGUGGAUCAAAGAUUCCAAUUGCGUUUAUUGUUGUAAUCGUUUCGGGUUCUUGCUUUUUUGUGUUGAUCCUUUCGGUUCUUAGACUUCCAGACUUAUCAGUUACCAGUGGCUCCAAGAAUUUAUUCAAACAUAAAAAAGUUAGCAAAAGUUUAGAGAAUGGUGACAGGAUUGGAAAGUUUGGUGAGAUGAUGAUCGAAAUGUUGCCUCGUGCUCUUUCGUUUACAAUAUUCGUUCCAUCGGAGUUCACAUUUGAACGCGAUUUGAGAUUAAUGGUGAAUGAUAGUUUAGUGGAGGAGAAAGCAAAUGAUACGGAUGCAAUACAUUAGCCGCGCGAUAUCAUUUUUGAGCAAGUAGCGACUGGAUCCUUUUUUAGCAGACAUUAGCCGCGCGAUAUCAUUUUAUUUUCUGUAUUGUAUGAUGUAUACAGGUGAUGACUAGUUUUCUUGUAGCAUAUUAUAUACAAAAGGACAUGAAGUCUUAUGAGUUGUAGGUCCAAACUCCUUGAUAUGUUUUGUAACUGUUUUUUGUUAAAAUUUUUGAUUUUUUUGGAUUU